UGAAGCCGGCCGGGAGGUUCGGGCGCCAGGGAGCGCGCGUACAGCGCCACCCCACGGCCAAAGUGGGAUGGGGCCGUAGAGGAGUGUUGCGCAGGCGCUGUCUUCCGCAGUUUUCUCUGGCGGGAGGAAAAGGGAGGGCCUCCCUAAAUGAUUGCCUCUCGCCCAUUUUAUUUGCGCAUUUUCUCCAGGAUGCUUUUCAGGUUGGGAGAAACUUGAGCUUGUUUAAAUGCUGAAGAAAAGACUUACCAGAGAAGAGCUGACAAUUUGGAAGAGGGAAUGGGAGGCCAUCUAGGUCUAGGAUGGUAACUCACCAUCUUGUCCUGCCAGCAUAGCUCCAUGUGGCCCAGGAUGACUGCUUGAACUCCAGCUAUUUUGUCUGAGUUCAGCCAGCAGGAAGGAAGGAGGAAGGGAAAAAGAUGGCACUUCUCGUCCUCUUUUUUUUUUUUUUUUUAAUUAAACAUUUACUUGCAAGCAAUCUUUCCUUUUAAGGAGACUUCCAGAAGUUCCACCUGAUGUUUCUCCUUACAUCUCAUUGGCUAUAAACUAGCCCUAUGGCCACAUUUAGCUGUAGGGAGGUAAGGAAAUGCAGGCUUUGGACUAAGCUCCAGUGUGCCCAGCUAUAGUUUCCGUCACUAAAGAAGGACUGAGACUUGGAUACUAGGAGGUUAUGAAGAGUCUGUGCCACAAAGGGGACUGGGAGGGGCCAGACAGUUUUUUGAGGAAGAAGAGUCUGGAAGGAUUCAAGAUUUGGAGCCCAGCCCACUCCAUUCUAAUCCCAACCCCAUAUACUUUCACCUCUGUGACCUUGAACAAGCCACCUGAGCCUCAGUGUCCUCUGUAAAAUGGGGGUGACAAUCUACUUGGCAGACUGCAAGGAUUAAAUGAGAUGCCGUGGAAAGACCUGCCCUGUGUGAGACAGGGAAAUCUGCUAUGGACAGUUCCCCUUCUCCUCUGGGGACAGAGUGCCGGGGCACCAGGUUGUGACGUGGAUCCUGCUUUCCCCAGGACAGCCCUGUGGUUCACACUGGGGCUUUGCAGUCAAUCCAACAAGCCAGAGGAGGAGCAAAGAUACCACAGCUACUGACCUUGAUAACCACUUAAACAGCCAGAGAGAGCUCCAGGCCCUCUCACCAGAGCCCAGGUGGAAGGGCUGACCUGCAGGCACCAGGGUCCCAGUGCGCUGUGCAGUGUAUACAUGGCCCAGAACAUCAGAUCAUUCUGUGCCCCUGCACCAUGACUCUUCCAAACCCCAGAAUGCAGAGGAAAACCCAGCCGCGCAGCACGGAGGCCAAGAGGGCUGGGCACGGAAGGUCGCAGAGGCCCCGUGUCAUAGGGUCUGCAGCGAGGCUUUCUCUUUUUGCGCUCCAGGCAGCUCUAUUGGUCUCUCGUGCGGCUUCUCGGUGGCUGCCGGGACCCUGGUUUGCAGAUCGCAGCUUUGAAAGAUGACACUAAGGACGCUGAAGAAUGUUUUGAAGGGUAUCCCACCAUCUGCACGCCCACCUUCCUUUUCACCUUCUCCGUUCUGGCUGGGACCCCAGGCCGGUGAACCCUGGCUGCCAAAGGAGAGCGCAGAGACCACCUGGCACCCGGCUCUUUGCCUUUCUGGAUUUUUCCUGGUGCAAAUGUUUUGCCAUGUGGCUGUGUGGUCUUCAUAUUGAUCAUCUUAAUGGAGGUGUCAUAGUCCUUUGACUGGAUACACUCUCAUUUCCAGAUGUUCGCUAAUAAGCUUGUUUCCACUGGGGGGCUGUUACAGAUAGCUCUGCAACAAACAGUCAUUUAUGGGUUUAAAAACUAUUUAUUGAAUUUCUUAGAGAAGCACAAUGAAGUAUAUAGGGGGAGGGGAAUUAUUUGCUUUAUUUUAGCAAAUAGAAAAAAGAAAACGGGAGAGCUGGGGCCAGUGGGACAAAAUCUGUGUAACCUGGGCUGAUGGGCUUACAGGGUUUCUUGGUGCUGCUGUGUCCUUUUUCUGUAUAUGUUUGAGAUCUUUCAUAAUAAAAAAUUUAAAAGUGCAAA